rnacentral:rRNA from 1 species
AGAGUUUGAUCAUGGCUCAGGAUGAACGCUGGCGGCGUGCUUAACACAUGCAAGUCGAACGGAGAACCCCUGACGGAGGAUUCGUCCAACUGAAGGGAAUUCUUAGUGGCGGACGGGUGAGUAACGCGUGAGGAACCUACCUUGGAGUGGGGAAUAACAGUCCGAAAGGACUGCUAAUACCGCAUAAUGCAGUUGGGCCGCAUGGCUCUGACUGCCAAAGAUUUAUCGCUCUGAGAUGGCCUCGCGUCUGAUUAGCUAGUAGGCGGGGUAACGGCCCACCUAGGCGACGAUCAGUAGCCGGACUGAGAGGUUGACCGGCCACAUUGGGACUGAGACACGGCCCAGACUCCUACGGGAGGCAGCAGUGGGGAAUAUUGGGCAAUGGGCGCAAGCCUGACCCAGCAACGCCGCGUGAAGGAAGAAGGCCCUCGGGUUGUAAACUUCUUUUGACAGGGACGAAACAAAUGACGGUACCUGUCGAAUAAGCCACGGCUAACUACGUGCCAGCAGCCGCGGUAAUACGUAGGUGGCAAGCGUUAUCCGG